rnacentral:misc_RNA from 1 species
AAGUCGUAACAAGGUUUCCGUAGGUGAACCUGCGGAAGGAUCAUUAUUGAAUAAACUUGAUGUAGUUGUAGCUGACUCCCCUUUGGGGGGGGGUAUGUGCUCGCUCGUCAUCUUUGUCUUUCCACCUGUGCACUUCUUGUAGAUUUUGAAUGUAUUGUUUUGAAAGCCUUUACGGGGUUUUCUUAAUAUGUAUUCAGGUCUAUGCUUUUCAUAUACUCCAAUGAAUGUAACAGAAUGUAUCACUGGGCGUUUAGUGCCUAUAAAAUUUAUACAACUUUCAGCAACGGAUCUCUUGGCUCUC